UACGUAGGGUGCGAGCGUUGUCCGGAAUUAUUGGGCGUAAAGAGCUCGUAGGCGGCCUGUCGCGUCGGAUGUGAAAGCCCGGGGCUUAACCCCGGGUCUGCAUUCGAUACGGGCAGGCUAGAGUUCGGUAGGGGAGAUCGGAAUUCCUGGUGUAGCGGUGAAAUGCGCAGAUAUCAGGAGGAACACCGGUGGCGAAGGCGGAUCUCUGGGCCGAAUACUGACGCUGAGGAGCGAAAGCGUGGGGAGCGAACAGG
rnacentral:rRNA from 1 species